GAAAUCAUAGGAUGUUUGUUGGUGUCAAGCAGUGACCCAAUCAGUUCAUUAAAAUUCAUCUUCAGCUGUUCUGAGCUGCCCUUCAUAAUGUCAUUGAAUCCCAAAUGAACUAUGAUAGACUAAAUUUCCUGAUGCUGGUUUAAAAUGUUUGUGAGCAGCUUAUUGAUGUCCUGUACUCAUGCUCCUGGAUAACACAAAGUUUUUGCUCCAGUGAAUGAAACAUUUCUCACCAUUGAACUGCCCAAUACAAUGGCCGGAGAAGGGAAUGGAGAAAUCCACCUAUUCCUACCCCUCACACAAUUUGUUGAACCUUUCACAGGCCCACAAGGAGCAGGAUAGCAUACACCCGCUGCUCCCAGCGAUAGGUCCAGACCUCCCACAGCAGGCAGUGUCCCGUCAGAUCCAGAGAGAGGGAAAGGAGCCGCGUAGUUGGAGUCAGCACCGCCGUCGCAGACACAGGCAAUCCCAGCGAUGAAGGCGUAGGUAGAUCAGGCACCAGUGCAUCGAAUCUAUUCCCUAUGUCAAUCUGCUCUGAACCUCUCGCCAUUACUCCCGUCCGCUUAGCAGCAUGCCGCUGCCUUCGGUUUCCACGUCUUGUGACAUGGGACCAGCGCUGAUUGGAACAAUCUUCUUGCUGUUCUCUGUCUACUUCACUACAGGAUGGAGGAGGAAAGGCAGAUGGAGACGACUUCCUUGGCAGGAAAGUUCCAGGUAGCACAGGCCAUUCGGAUAGGGACAGAUGACAAGGCGGGGAAACAUCCAUCAGGCCCGAGCGGCGUCCUGCCAUAGGAAUUGAGAACGAGAAAGUUCCAGUUUGUAUUUUCCCCAUAAGUUCGCGCAGAAUUGAGAUUUGCUUGCUAAGCAUAGCCACCUCGUUCCCGUAAUCCUCCGUUAGCAAACAAUUGCCGCAUUGGAACUCUGGAUUGUCAAUAUUGUCCCGGACAGGAGCGUAAUAAACACAGCUUCUACAGCGCUGGAAACUUUCGUUAGGCAUUCCAGGCGAAGCAGGUUCCAUUGCAACCUAGCUAGCUACCUAGCUAGCAGUUGUUGACACAAACACUUUUAAAAAAGUAACACUUCGGAAACAACAGGCCAAAAGAACAGGUUGAGGCGCAGGAGGAAUCCUAGUUCGUGACAGCAAAUGACUGCAGGUAUAGCUAACUAGCUAUGUUUCUAACAUUUCUUUACUUCUGUACUUAAAUGCAGAGGUCAAGGCCAAUGGACAGCUUUGUAAAGGAUGGGUUGAAUGAGUGGAACCUGGCCUCUUUGCUUCCAAAGUUUGAGGAGUCAAAUGUGAGAGGGCAGCCCAGAUGACCAAGUGGCUGAACAACAACAUCUGGCCGGGCAAACCAAGUUGCGGAGUACACAAAAUAGACCACGAUCCAGAGGGCUCAGUUGACCAGACAGAAUGGGGCCAAGACAGCUGAGAUAGUCCAAGAGUAUCCGCGUCUGCUGAAUACUCCAGGCAUGAUUGCCCAGGACCUCUCAAUUUUAAACCCAGACUGCUUGGGGAAACUGAGAACUCGAUCGCGGUCAUCAAGGACAAACAUUUUUGCUUUGCCAGCUGAGAAAAGCAGGCCCAAGAUCUUCUCUUCGAAGUGCAGGUAUAGUUUGAAAUGACCCUGCCUCAGAUGCUCAUUUAUUUUUUGCUUGAAACAAUCAAGUUAUUGACUAAUAAGUAACAUCGCUUUAAGACUUCUGCCAGUGGUCCUGCCAACACCAGUCUACAAGAUUGUCAGGAAGACAUUCUGACCCACCUUUGAAGAGUCCAGAAAUACCUUCAUUGACUUGCAGCCUGUAAGUUUAAAUAGUGGAUAGGCAUAGGGAGAUUGAUGAGGAAAUUAGAUAACAUUUGUAAACCUUGAAUGAAAGGAACAGCAUUCCAAAAUUGGUUAACUGCACACUCCAAUACAUUGUUGUGUAAAUGAACCUAUGAGCCUCAGCCCCAAAUGAAUGGAAGAUGUAGGCAUCAAACAGGGAUUGUGUGUUUAUAUUGAUGUAAAUGGCUAUAAAAUAUACAAAAUAAAGUGUGUGUGAUGGCAUUGUCAGUGUGCCUCCAUGCUUUGCACAAGUCCUCAUAUUCUAAAAUCGAAUGAUUUAUAUCUAACAGGUUGGGACCAACAUGGUUGAGUACCUGCGCCAGGCGAAGGUGACCAGAACCUACCCAUUUGUGUUGGCUCUUGGGGACUGCUCACAGGUGUUUACAGUCAUUAGUGAAGAGGCAUUGGAGCAAGGUACAUUGCUUGGGGCACUGGAUGUGUGUUUCAAGUCCUAUUACAGUGCAUUCGGAAAGUAUUCAGACCCCUUGACUUUUUCCACAUUUUGUUACGUUACAG